UACAGAGGGUGCAAGCGUUAUUCGGAAUUAUUGGGCGUAAAGGGCGCGUAGGCGGCUCGAUAAGUCUGGUGUGAAAGCCCUGGGUUCAACCCAGGAAGUGCAUUGGAUACUGUCGAGCUAGAGUACAGGAGAGGAGAGUGGAAUUCCUGGUGUAGAGGUGAAAUUCGUAGAUAUCAGGAGGAACAUCAGUGGCGAAGGCGACUCUCUGGACUGUAACUGACGCUGAGGCGCGAAAGCGUGGGGAGCAAACAGG
rnacentral:rRNA from 1 species